UAAGCGUGCGCAGGCGGUUAUGUAAGACAGAUGUGAAAUCCCCGGGCUCAACCUGGGAACUGCAUUUGUGACUGCAUGGCUAGAGUACGGUAGAGGGGGAUGGAAUUCCGCGUGUAGCAGUGAAAUGCGUAGAUAUGCGGAGGAACACCGAUGGCGAAGGCAAUCCCCUGGACCUGUACUGACGCUCAUGCACGAAAGCGUGGGGAGCAAACAGGAUUAGAUACCCCUGU
rnacentral:rRNA from 1 species